rnacentral:rRNA from 1 species
CACGUAGGGCGCAAGCGUUGUCCGGAAUUAUUGGGCGUAAAGAGCUCGUAGGCGGUCUGUUGCGUCCGCUGUGAAAACUCGGGGCUUAACCCCGAGCCUGCAGUGGAUACGGGCAGACUAGAGGUAGGUAGGGGAGAAUGGAAUUCCCGGUGUAGCGGUGAAAUGCGCAGAUAUUAGGAAGAACACCGGUGGCGAAGGCGGCUCUCUGGAACGGUACUGACGCUGAGGAGCGAAAGCGUGGGAGCGAACAGG